rnacentral:rRNA from 1 species
AGGUCAAGUAGACAAGGGCGCACGGUGAAUGCCAUGGCACUUGGAAGCCGAUAAGGACGUGACAACGACGAAAUGCUUCGGGGAGCGGUAAGUACGCAGAGAUCCGAAUAUCCGAUGGGGAACCCGGCACCUGAGGUGUCACCUUGAAUGUGAUAGAUAGCAUAAGGAGGAGACGCAGUGAACUGAACAUCUAAGGUACC